GUGGCCCACCUCCAGUGACGUCAACUCCAAAGCCCUAUAGGCGCCUUCUGGCCUGGUGGGUGUGGCCUGGCCACACCCAAAGCCACACACCUGCUCCUGAUCAGGCCUCGUCGGGGAGCUACUUAAGAGAGUCUUGGAGCUCCCACCGACGCGGGAUCAUUCCAUGAGACUCCACGAGAGGUGUGGAGAGCCAAACAGCAGCCAGCACGGGGAGUGCUGAGACACGGGAGCGGAGAGCACAAACACUGGGAGAAGACACGACACGGGAGUCUGGGGAAAGCACAGGGAUUUAUUGUUGUUGUUUCCAUCACUGUAAAUAAACGCACUGUCCGCACACA